AGCGAACGCUGGCGGCAGGCUUAACACAUGCAAGUCGAGCGGGCCCUUCGGGGUCAGCGGCGGACGGGUGAGUAACGCGUGGGAACGUGCCUUCUGGUCUGGAAUAACCCUGGGAAACUAGGGCUAAUACCGGAUACGCCCUUUUGGGGAAAGGUUUACUGCCGGAAGAUCGGCCCGCGUCUGAUUAGCUAGUUGGUGGGGUAACGGCCUACCAAGGCGACGAUCAGUAGCUGGUCUGAGAGGAUGAUCAGCCACACUGGGACUGAGACACGGCCCAGACUCCUACGGGAGGCAGCAGUGGGGAAUAUUAGACAAUGGGCGCAAGCCUGAUCCAGCCAUGCCGCGUGAGUGAUGAAGGCCUUAGGGUUGUAAAGCUCUUUUAUCCGGGACGAUAAUGACGGUACCGGAGGAAUAAGCCCCGGCUAACUUCGUG
rnacentral:rRNA from 1 species